AGAGUUUGAUCCUGGCUCAGGACGAACGCUGGCGGCGUGCCUAAUACAUGCAAGUCGAACGAACUCUGGUAUUGAUUGGUGCUUGCAUCAUGAUUUACAUUUGAGUGAGUGGCGAACUGGUGAGUAACACGUGGGAAACCUGCCCAGAAGCGGGGGAUAACACCUGGAAACAGAUGCUAAUACCGCAUAACAACUUGGACCGCAUGGUCCGAGUUUGAAAGAUGGCUUCGGCUAUCACUUUUGGAUGGUCCCGCGGCGUAUUAGCUAGAUGGUGGGGUAACGGCUCACCAUGGCAAUGAUACGUAGCCGACCUGAGAGGGUAAUCGGCCACAUUGGGACUGAGACACGGCCCAAACUCCUACGGGAGGCAGCAGUAGGGAAUCUUCCACAAUGGACGAAAGUCUGAUGGAGCAACGCCGCGUGAGUGAAGAAGGGUUUCGGCUCGUAAAACUCUGUUGUUAAAGAAGAACAUAUCUGAGAGUAACUGUUCAGGUAUUGACGGUAUUUAACCAGAAAGCCACGGCUAACUACGUGCCAGCAGCCGCGGUAAUACGUAGGUGGCAAGCGUUGUCCGGAUUUAUUGGGCGUAAAGCGAGCGCAGGCGGUUUUUUAAGUCUGAUGUGAAAGCCUUCGGCUCAACCGAAGAAGUGCAUCGGAAACUGGGAAACUUGAGUGCAGAAGAGGACAGUGGAACUCCAUGUGUAGCGGUGAAAUGCGUAGAUAUAUGGAAGAACACCAGUGGCGAAGGCGGCUGUCUGGUCUGUAACUGACGCUGAGGCUCGAAAGUAUGGGUAGCAAACAGGAUUAGAUACCCUGGUAGUCCAUACCGUAAACGAUGAAUGCUAAGUGUUGGAGGGUUUCCGCCCUUCAGUGCUGCAGCUAACGCAUUAAGCAUUCCGCCUGGGGAGUACGGCCGCAAGGCUGAAACUCAAAGGAAUUGACGGGGGCCCGCACAAGCGGUGGAGCAUGUGGUUUAAUUCGAAGCUACGCGAAGAACCUUACCAGGUCUUGACAUACUAUGCAAAUCUAAGAGAUUAGACGUUCCCUUCGGGGACAUGGAUACAGGUGGUGCAUGGUUGUCGUCAGCUCGUGUCGUGAGAUGUUGGGUUAAGUCCCGCAACGAGCGCAACCCUUAUUAUCAGUUGCCAGCAUUAAGUUGGGCACUCUGGUGAGACUGCCGGUGACAAACCGGAGGAAGGUGGGGAUGACGUCAAAUCAUCAUGCCCCUUAUGACCUGGGCUACACACGUGCUACAAUGGAUGGUACAACGAGUUGCGAACUCGCGAGAGUAAGCUAAUCUCUUAAAGCCAUUCUCAGUUCGGAUUGUAGGCUGCAACUCGCCUACAUGAAGUCGGAAUCGCUAGUAAUCGCGGAUCAGCAUGCCGCGGUGAAUACGUUCCCGGGCCUUGUACACA
rnacentral:rRNA from 1 species